CCUGCAUGAAGUCGGAAUUGCUAGUAAUCGCAGAUCAGCAUGCUGCGGUGAAUACGUUCCCGGGCCUUGUACACACCGCCCGUCACACCAUGGGAGUCGGUAACACCCGAAGUCGGUAGCCUAACCGUAAGGAGGGCGCCGCCGAAGGUGGGAUUGAUGACUGGGGUGAAGUCGUAACAAGGUAUC
rnacentral:rRNA from 1 species